UGAUAGCUGGCCUCUAAGCUGAGGGGCCUGGGGAGGCUUCAGUGAUCCCUCUGCUGUAAAUGUUGCCUCGGCUGGCCUAUAACUCUGGGGCUCUGGAAUCUGAGUCCACAGUCCUGGCUAACUCUACAGUCCAACUCUUGCAGCCAGGCCUGAAACCCUGUGACACUGCUGUCAACACAAGUUUCCGCACACGGGAAGUGCUCAGCAAUGUUAGCUGGCACAAAUUAUGCCAGCAAGUCCUCUGGACUCUCCUGUCUCCAAAGCCUGGCAUGAAACCCACUGGCCUCCCUCUGGAGAGGCUGUCACUGGCCUUGUCUGAGCAUCCUUUAAUCUCUGCAGCCACAGUGCCUGAUGCAAUGGCUGAUCCUGCAUUAGUGAGCAGUGUUUAGGAAAUGGGUUUAUGAAUAAAUCACGUAUGAAUAAACAA
rnacentral:lncRNA from 1 species